GCCGGCGGUCACUGCUAUUGGAAUCUGAUUAAGACAUGCGAGUCGAGAGAUUUCGGAUCUCGGCAGACGGCUCAGUAACACGUGGAUAAUCUACCCUUGGAUGAGAGAUAACCUCGGGAAACUGAGGAUAAUAUCUCAUAGGUCUUGGUUGCUGGAAUGCUUCAAGGCUGAAAGCGUUAGCGUCCAAGGAUGAGUCUGCGGCCUAUCAGGUAGUAGUGGGUGUAAGGGACCCACUAGCCGAUGACGGGUACGGGCCCUGAGAGGGGGAGCCCGGAGAUGGGAUCUGAGACACGAUCCCAGACCCUACGGGGUGCAGCAGUUGCGAAACCUUCACACUGUGGGAAACCACGAUGAGGAGAUUCCAAGUGCCAACACCCAGUGUUGGCUUUUCAGAUGUCUAAAACGCAUCUAGAAUAAGGGCCGGGUAAGACGGGUGCCAGCCGCCGCGGUAACACCCGCGGCUCAAGUGGUGACCAUUAUUAUUGAGCUUAAAGCGUUCGUAGCCGGUCUGGUAAAUCUCUGGGUAAAUCGAACGGCUCAACCGUUCGAAUACCAGGGAGACUGCUAGACUUGGGACCGGGAGAGGCCAGAGGUACUCUUGGGGUAGAAGUAAAAUUCUGUAAUCCUAGGANGACCACCAGUGGCGCAAGCGUCUGGCUAGAACGGAUCCGACNGUGAGGGACGAAGCCCUGGGGCUUGCGAACCGGGAUUAGAUACCCGGGUAGUCCAGGGUGUAAACGAUGUGGACUUGGUGUCGGAAGUCUUACGCGGGCAUCCGGUGCCGUAGNUAGAUUGUUAAGUCCACCGCUUGGGAAGUACGGUCGCAAGACUGAAACUUAAAGGAAUUGGCGGGGGAGCACCGCAACCGGAGGAGCGUGCGGUUCAAUUGGAUUCAACGCCGGGAAACUCACCGGGGGCGACGGACAAAUGUGGGUCAAGCUGACGACUUUGCCUGAAUGUCCGAGAGGUGGUGCAUGGCCGUCAUCAGUUCGUACCGUAAGGCGUUCUGUUAAGUCAGAUAACGAACGAGACCCUCGCCCCUAGUUACCACCCCAUCCGCUAGGAUGAGCGCACACUAGGGGGACCGCUGGCGCUAAGUCAGAGGAAGGUGAGGUCUACGGUAGGUCAGUAUGCCCCGAAUCCCCCGGGCUACACGCGCGCUAUAAAGGCCAGGACAAUGGGCUCCCAACCUCGAAAGAGGAAGGUAAUCCCGAAACCUGGUCGUAGUUCGGAUUGAGGGCUGUAACUCGCCCUCAUGAACGCUAGAUUCGGUAGUAAUCGCGGGUCAACAUCCCGCGGUGAAUAUGCCCCUGCUCCUUGCACACACCGCCCGUCAAACCAUCCGAGUUGAUCCUAGAUGAGGGCGUCCUACAUGGGAUGUUCGAAUUUGGGUUCAGCAAGGAGGGUU
rnacentral:rRNA from 1 species